AUGGAUUUCAUUGAAGGCAUGCCAAACUCUCAAGGAAAAGAAGUCAUUAUGGUAGUGGUGGAUAGAUUCACUAAAUACUCUCAUUUCAUUCCUCUCUCUCAUCCAUAUACCGUCCUCAGUGUGGCUCAAGAUUUUGUGGAUCAUAUCAUUCAGUUGCAUGAACCUUCUACACUGAUUAUAUUUGACAGAGGCAGACUUUUUACCAGCCAGCUCUGGAAGGAUAUAUUUACUGCUCUGAAAGUGGAAUUAAGAUAUAGUACAGCUUAUCACCCUCAAAUAGAUGGUCAAACUGAGCGAGUCAACCAAUGUUUGGAAACCUAA
rnacentral:rRNA from 1 species